UUGUGCUAAUGGGAAGAUGUGCUGACUGGGUGGUGCUUCCCUCUCUGAUUUAGAGGAAAUACAUUGUCUGCUUUGACCCACUGGAUAAAUCUUCCAAUAUCGACUGCCUGGCCUCCACUGGAACCAUCUUUGCCGUCUACAGAAAGGUCUGCCCUCCCAUGACUCACCUGUGUGAGAAAAUCAUCUCCAUGCUGCCUUCCUGGUGGAACCUCAAUGGACCCAACCAGCUGAUGUCACUGCAGCAGUUUGUGUGCGAAGUGCAGGACCAGCUGAACCCUCUGGUCAUCCAGGGGUACCCCGGGUGCAUUGCUCAGCAGCUCCACCGUGCAGGCGAGGUUAUAAAGAAGCCUUGAAUCCUCCUCCACGAUACCCGCUCCACUAUUUGUUAGCACAGCUAUGAUGCUGCUCACAGAUUGUUUUCACUCCUAAAGACAGUGGCGCAAGGCAAGGUGACCUGGAGCCAGGCCAUCCUGAGUGUCCACCCAGCUUCCCAGGAUCCUGUUGGAAUUUGGAAGGACAUUUCACCUGUCUGUAUAGAGCCUUGUUUUUUGUUGAAAGCCAGGGGCUCAAAACUUGUGUUUUGGAAGUUUAACUCUGAACGUUUGACUCUUUUACUUUCCAUUUAUCCUUUAAUAAUCCUAACAGUUCCCAAGAUGAAGGCUACUUCUGGCUGAAUCAAGGACAGGUUACCAAUAAGAAAGUCAACAAGAAAUGAACAUUAUUAUUAUCCUCAUUCCAGUUACAAUUAAGGGGCUAGGGAGAGGAGAGUGGGGAGUUAGUGCUGAAUGGGUUAGGAGUUUCAGUUUUGGUUGAAGAGAAAGUUCUGGAGAUGGAAGGUGGUGAUGGUGGCACAGCAAUGGGAAUGAGCUUCAUGCCACUGAAUUGUACUCUCAAAAAUGGUUAAAAUGGUC